CCUACGGGUGGCAGCAGUGGGGAAUAUUGCACAAUGGGCGCAAGCCUGAUGCAGCCAUGCCGCGUGUGUGAAGAAGGCCUUCGGGUUGUAAAGUACUUUCAGCGGGGAGGAAGGCGAUAAGGUUAAUAACCUUGUCGAUUGACGUUACCCGCAGAAGAAGCACCGGCUAGCUCCGUGCCAGCGGCCGCGGUAAUACGGAGGGUGCAAGCGUUAAUCGGAAUUACUGGGCGUAAAGCGCACGCACGCGGUCUGUCAAGUCGGAUGUGAAAUCCCCGGGCUCAACCUGGGAACUGCAUUCGAAACUGGCAGGCUAGAGUCUUGUAGAGGGGGGUAGAAUUCAGGUGUAGCGGUGAAAUGCGUAGAGAUGUGGAGGAAUACCGGUGGCGAAGGCGGCCCCCUGGACAAAGACUGACGCUCAGCUGCGAAAGCGUGGGGAGCAAACAGGAUUAGAUACCCGUGUAGUC
rnacentral:rRNA from 1 species